AAAGCACUUCUUCAACGGCGGGAGACCGCACGUACGCCGCCGCCUCUCUGUUUCCGGAAAUAAAAUCUGAUCCCAUAUCACAUCAGAUAUAUGGCUGGCUGGCUGGCCGGCUAGGCUCCUCCUCCUCCUCCUCCUUAUAUAUAAGAAGCUGCCAAGCCCCCUCCUCUUCCAUCACAUCCCCAUACCAAACCCUCCCAGCUUCCUCUUCAUCAUCAUAUACACCAGUUCAUUCCUCGUGGUUACGACAAUUUCGUUCCUGCGGCGACAUCGAUUAUGUCUGUCUUGCUUUGAUAUAACGAUCCCCCGCCCGACUUAGCGAGCGUGCUUGGUUUUUCCCUGGUUCGGUGGGACGAGUGGCGACGAGUCUCAUAGGUUUCCAGAACUUAUGAAUUCGCCUAUCGUUCUCGUUCCUUCAUACACCGACCAGGGCGGCGGGCCUCGGGCUCGCUGUAUCAAAGCAAGAUGAGGCAUCAUCGAUCGAGCGCGCAUGACGUCUUUCGGGUGGCAAUGAGAAGGUUUUCAGAAGCUAGGUAAAGAGAAAACCUUGCAGGUUGAUCGAGCUGCAGCCGGAGGAAACAGAAGGAUGGAUCCGAUCCGAGACCGGCAACCAUCAUUUGUUUAUUCCCGAAUGGGGCUUUGCUGUACUGUUUCUCCGGUUGAGAUAAUCAACCAGAGUUUCUUGUAUCUUUAGGGCAAACCCUUGUUAGGGUUUUUGUUAUGCUUAACUAAUUGGAAUUGAGUUAAUUGACUUAGUCACGUACUAUAAUGUACUAUCUCCAGCUGUGUUCCGGCCGGUUUUCAUCUUCGGAAUUUUGUUAUACCUCAA